CUUCUCGGGUUACCGAAUUCAGACAAACUCCGAAUGCCAAUCAAUUUAACUUGGGAGUCAGAACAUGGGUGAUAAGGUCCGUGUUCGAAAGGGAAACAGCCCAGACCACCAGCUAAGGUCCCAAAAUAUAUGUUAAGUGGAAAAGGAUGUGGCGUUGCCCAGACAACUAGGAUGUUGGCUUAGAAGCAGCCAUCAUUUAAAGAGUGCGUAAUAGCUCACUAGUCGAGUGACACUGCGCCGAAAAUGUACCGGGGCUAAACAUAUUACCGAAGCUGUGGAUUGUCCUUUGGACAAUGGUAGGAGAGCGUUCUAAGGG
rnacentral:rRNA from 1 species